rnacentral:rRNA from 1 species
CCCUUAGAUGGUCUGGGCGGCACGCGCGCUACAAUGAUGCAUUCAAAAAGUCUUCUGACCUUAGAAGGUUGGGUAUUCUCCAAAGUGCAUCGUGAUGGGAAUAGUUUAUUGCAAUUUUUAUCUUGAACGAGGAAUUCUUAAUAAGUACAGGUCAUCAACUUGUGUUGAUUACGUCCCUGCCCUUUGUACACACCGCCCGUCGCUCCUACCGAUUGAGCGAUCCGGUGAAUGUUUUGGACUGGCGUCAGAAGCGGUUCGCUCCUGACACUACGAAAUUUUGUAAACCUUAUCGCUUAGAGGAAGGAAAAGUCGUAACA